UAGGCCUAAAGGAAGCAAAAUGAUGAACAUUAACAUCUUAAAAUGUUUACCUCUCAAUUGGAUGUGAUUUACAGUACAGUCUGGCACAGAUGGGUAACUAGGAUCGUUGCUUUUAUCCUACAGACUGCCCAUCGUUUUAAAACUGAUAAUUGUGCAUUUGACUUCUCAAAUGAUCACAUGUACAAGCAAUACAUGUCGAUAGUUUCACUUUUAAAACGUGUGUGUUGAUUAUCAGACUUAUCAAGAGUGUUGUCAGAGCAAUGUAUUCGUACCUUGUUAAUUCCACUGGAAAGACGCUCUCAUUCAACCCACCGAGAACCGAAGCACUUUGGGCCAUGGUUGUCUGUAAAAUAUAAAAUAAGUUUGUUAUUAUAAUAGUAUAUGCCUUAUUAAAAUUGCAAUUUUCAAUAUUACAUAUUCAAAUGAAAAAAAUAUUACAUUUAGACCUACUACUUGAAAUUAAAUCAUAAUAUUUAAUACAGUGACAUAAUACAGUAUUAAAUAUUGUAAUGUAAUAUAUUCUGUUUAGAAAUAGGUGGACAGGAUAAAUAAAACGAGACUUAACAUUUGUAAAAACUGAUUGUGUGCAUUUCAGUGGAAAACACACAUUAACACACUAUGACAUUGUGAACUCACUAUGUUAUUCUGUUGAUACAAAAGAAAAGUAGAACCUUACCUUUGAGAGAUUUCAAGAUAUGAUGUCGGUAGUAAUCCUAGAUUGAUCCCAUUGGUUAUUAAAUGUUCACCUCCAAAUAGCAAAAAAAUUACAAUUGCCAGCUAUAUUGUUCUUAAGAGACGAGGAGGCUAUAUUUUUUGUUGCAAAGCUUCCUGAGGACGCUUUCAAAUAUAUAGAACCACAAGUCGGUUGAGAGGUUUAAAAAAAGAAAAAAAAUACGAUGUCAUGCAGCAAAUGCACGCUGCUCAAGACUCAAGCAGUGUCGCACAUUGCUUUGUGACAAUUCAAGUGUUGUGGUGGCUCUUCCUUGACAACAAUUUUCCAGAUGACACAUUUCUGCUCCGGCUUGAAGUCAAAUAUUUUUCGCUUUUGGAUGAAGUGUUAACCCUUCACUCCCUUAAAUGUGGUGACGUAUUUCAGUAUGUUAUAACAUGUUUUCAAAAACCAUUUAAAUACAAAUGAUCAAAAAUGAAACAAGUCAACAACAGCUGUAAUUAUCAAACAUUUCCUUUAUAAACAAUACUUCUUUAAACAAUUAUCUUCUGGCUUUUGCCAGAGUACAUGAUGAAUCUUUUCUGCCCUAAUGUAUGUCAAGACAAUAUUCAAAGUACCACUGUACUUUCCUGCCCUUUAUGAUGAACUUUCAUGAUAAUCAUAAAGUGAGUCAUCUGUGAGUGAUUUCUGCACCAAAGCAGAGACUGCAGAAAUUUAAAUAUCUGGAGUAAGAUUAUAUCCAAUUGCUAUAGAUAUCGUGAAAUAAAUUGGUGAUACACA